rnacentral:rRNA from 1 species
AUCUUUAUAAUUUUACUAUCAAAUCCACUUUCAAUAAUUUUUUCAUAAUUAUUUCCAUAUAAAUAUUUUUAUUGUAACUCAUUAUUUACUUAAAUAUAAGCUACACCUUGAUCUGAUAUAAAUUUUAUUUUAAAUUUUAGAAAAUUAUUAUUCUUUUAAAAUAUUCUAAUAACAACGGUAUAUAAACUGAUUAACUAAUUCAAGUAAGGUCCAACGGGGAUUAUCGAUUAUAAAACAAGUUCCUCUGAAUAGACUAAAAUACCGCCAAAUUUUUUAAGUUUCAAGAACAUAACUAAUAC